AACGUAGGACGCAAGCGUUAUCCGGAAUUACUGGGCGUAAAGGGCGCGUAGGCGGCCGCCUAAGUCAGACGUGAAAUCCCUCGGCUCAACCGGGGAACUGCGUCUGAUACUGGGUGGCUUGAAUCCGGGAGAGGGAUGCGGAAUUCCAGGUGUAGCGGUGAAAUGCGUAGAUAUCAGGAGGAACACCGGUGGCGAAGGCGGUUCUCUGGGCAUUACCUGACGCUGAGGAGCGAAAGUGUGGGGAGCGAACAGG
rnacentral:rRNA from 1 species